rnacentral:rRNA from 1 species
UACGAAGGGUGCUAGCGUUGUUCGGAAUUACUGGGCGUAAAGCGCGCGUAGGCGGUCUAUCAAGUCAGAGGUGAAAGCCCUGGGCUCAACCCAGGAAUUGCCUUUGAAACUGAUAGACUAGAGUGUCGGAGGGGAUAGCGGAAUUCCUAAUGUAGAGGUGAAAUUCGUAGAUAUUAGGAGGAACACCGGUGGCGAAGGCGGCUAUCUGGACGACAACUGACGCUGAGGCGCGAAAGCACGGGGAUCAAACAGG